UGGCUCAGAUUGAACGCUGGCGGCAGGCCUAACACAUGCAAGUCGAGCGGCAGCACGGGUACUUGUACCUGGUGGCGAGCGGCGGACGGGUGAGUAAUGCCUAGGAAUCUGCCUGGUAGUGGGGGAUAACGUUCGGAAACGAACGCUAAUACCGCAUACGUCCUACGGGAGAAAGCAGGGGACCUUCGGGCCUUGCGCUAUCAGAUGAGCCUAGGUCGGAUUAGCUAGUUGGUGAGGUAAUGGCUCACCAAGGCGACGAUCCGUAACUGGUCUGAGAGGAUGAUCAGUCACACUGGAACUGAGACACGGUCCAGACUCCUACGGGAGGCAGCAGUGGGGAAUAUUGGACAAUGGGCGAAAGCCUGAUCCAGCCAUGCCGCGUGUGUGAAGAAGGUCUUCGGAUUGUAAAGCACUUUAAGUUGGGAGGAAGGGCAGUUACCUAAUACGUAAUUGUUUUGACGUUACCGACAGAAUAAGCACCGGCUAACUCUGUGCCAGCAGCCGCGGUAAUACAGAGGGUGCAAGCGUUAAUCGGAAUUACUGGGCGUAAAGCGCGCGUAGGUGGUUCGUUAAGUUGGAUGUGAAAUCCCCGGGCUCAACCUGGGAACUGCAUUCAAAACUGUCGAGCUAGAGUAUGGUAGAGGGUGGUGGAAUUUCCUGUGUAGCGGUGAAAUGCGUAGAUAUAGGAAGGAACACCAGUGGCGAAGGCGACCACCUGGACUGAUACUGACACUGA
rnacentral:rRNA from 3 species